rnacentral:rRNA from 1 species
AGUCGAACGGGAAUUACUUUAUUGAAACUUCGGUCGAUUUAAUUUAAUUCUAGUGGCGGACGGGUGAGUAACGCGUGGGUAACCUGCCUUAUACAGGGGGAUAACAGUCAGAAAUGGCUGCUAAUACCGCAUAAGCGCACAGAGCUGCAUGGCUCAGUGUGAAAAACUCCGGUGGUAUAAGAUGGACCCGCGUUGGAUUAGCUGGUUGGUGGGGUAACGGCCCACCAAGGCGACGAUCCAUAGCCGGCCUGAGAGGGUGAACGGCCACAUUGGGACUGAGACACGGCCCAGACUCCUACGGGAGGCAGCAGUGGGGAAUAUUGCACAAUGGGGGAAACCCUGAUGCAGCGACGCCGCGUGAAGGAAGAAGUAUCUCGGUAUGUAAACUUCUAUCAGCAGGGAAGACAGUGACGGUACCUGACUAAGAAGCCCCGGCUAACUACGUGCCAGCAGCCGCGGUAAUACGUAGGGGGCAAGCGUUAUCCGGACUUACUGGGUGUAAAGGGAGCGUAGACGGUGUGGCAAGUCUGAUGUGAAAGGCAUGGGCUCAACCUGUGGACUGCAUUGGAGACUGUCAUACUUGAGUGCCGGAGGGGUAAGCGGAAUUCCUAGUGUAGCGGUGAAAUGCGUAGAUAUUAGGAGGAACACCAGUGGCG